rnacentral:lncRNA from 1 species
UUACUCCAAAACGCGUCUCUACUCUCUACUACUUAAACUGAAUAAGAACAACUCUGUUUACCAACAAAGGAGCAGAAUGAACUCGAAGGCUUCGACUUCAACGGCUUGCUUUAUCCCCAAAGAAAAAGCCUUUAAUGGCUCUCCUUUUGGUCGCAAUCAAAGUCGGUGGAUUCCACCCCCAAAAUAUCGAAGUCGGUGGCAAGGCAUGGCUCCUCCGAUGCUUGCGUCUCUCGUGAAUGGGUACUCGAGGUGGUGAAUCAAAGCGCCUCUUCCGGUGGUUAUAGAUUUCCGAUGAACGAUUCUAGAGGUCCAUUUCCUAUCUCUGAUCUCCUGCUUUCAUCCCUUUACUACUUCGGCUUCUUCCCUAGAUUUAUCAUUCUUGUGGAUUUCGAGAGAUUCGUUUGUGACGAAGCGUUCAGAGUCCGACAAUCAUCACAAUUUAUUCCUUUCAUGUGUUGAUUUGUUUUCUUGAGGAACGAAAGAUCUAGGGAGUUUUAUUACCACAUUUAUUCGUGGCUGGUUUCUCAUAUGAGAUCUGGUGUUUGAAAACUCUGUAUAUCUGUUAUUGUGUCCAAGAUUUUCUCAAUGCCUUCCCUUUUGUUUGAUGUAUGCUUGGUGCAUUUUAGUUCCCUUUCGUGUGGGUUACAAUUCUAAAGACUAAUUUUGGGAUCUUAAAGAUAACAUGUGAUGGGUUAAAUACUUGUGGAGUAUCUUAAUCUUUGUUCAAUACUUUGAAAUGCCACUAUCUUUCAGAAAUAAGAUAUUUUUUCCAGAAAUAAUCAUGGUAUCUCAUAUACAUUGGUGAAUCUCGUUUGAAAUCACGAAAAUUGAAUUCUGAAAGCUAAUGUUUACUAAAGACAAGUUUCAAAAUAUCUUAUAUACAUUGUCGGUUUGGUCUAUGUGUUUCCUUUAUGUCAUUAAGAAUGCAUAACUUGUAACUACGCAAGUAAAAGAUAUCAAACAUGUCCCUGAAUGAUCUUAUAAAGCUGGAUCUACCUAUUUAAAGCUUCUGAGGAGUAAUGAACCUCAUUGAGGUCCUUAGAAAGGUAUUAGAGUUAUCUUUCUAUCUAUUGAAACCAAUUGGAAUCAUUUAUGUAAGCUGGUUCUCACGGGUCCUCGAUAGGAGAUCAUGUCCAUCUUGGUUUGCCUUCUGCCCAUUCUUGACAUUUUGGUUGUUGCAAUAUAUGGUCCUAAAAUGGAACCUCGCUUUGGGUUGCCUUUUUGCCUUCUAAUUAUACUGAGGUGGGAAUCAGACUACCCUUCUUUCUAUUUUAAACUUGAUUACAAUUGUGUUGAGUGAGGUGUUCAUAUCGGGUCCUAAAAAGGAAACCAUGGUGAUCUGAGUUUGCCUUCUGCCCAUUCAGGACAUUAGUUUGUUGCAAUAGUUGUAGGUCCUAAAAAGGAACCUCGGUUGCCUUUUUGCCUUCUUUAAAUAUAUACAGAGGAAAAGGUGCUUAAAAGAGGAAUUCAAGUUAUUUUUCUUCCUGUUUUAAACACUAAAUAAGUUGUUUCCAGUGAGUUGUCCAUAUUGGGUCCUAGAAAGAGAACCAUUCUCAAUAUUGGUUUGCCUUCUGCCCAUUCGAGAAAUUAGUUUGGUGGGGUUGAUUAAGUUUAUAAUCGAAGGGUACUUGUGUUUGAUUAUGGAGGCAACUUAUCACGUGGGUUCGGGAAUUCUGUUGGAAAAAUCUUUUGAUUCCUAUGAGCAAUAUGAUGAUCUUGUGGGUUUUUUCAGUUCAGGCAAUGUUAUUCAUGUCCCUUAAUAUCAUAAAAUGCUUCGUUACGUGUAGUUGUGACUUUGUUUCCCGAUUUUAAGGAUCAAUUUGCAAAUCACAUAGAUCUGUCACACAGAUAUGAAGGGAUGGUUUUUAUAUUAAUAUCUGAUUGGUAUUUUGAAAUUUGACGUUCUCCAAGUUGGGGGUUUCAAAGCAACUCUUCUAAAGGGUUGGAAAUUUUGUAAUUUUCGGUUCAAUGGUAAAUAUUCAAUUUGGAAUACUUAGAAGAUUUGAGUUGAAACUACUGACCUUUCUUAUUGAAGUAUCAACAAAAUGGAAUUCAUUACAAAGAUAUUAUGUGUGGUCAACUAGGGUUGUGGGUUUGAUUUAUGUUGAUAUUUUGUUGGAUUCUUAUGUUGUCUUGUCGCUAUAAAAACAUAAAUGGUUAACGAGGUUGCAUACUAUCUUACUGUUGGUUGCAUACUAUCUUACUGUUGGUUGCAUUUUUCAUCUUGAAGAUCCCAUCAGUUGCCUUAAUAAUGUAAGAAAAAGUUUGGAAAUGGGUCCUAGAACGGGAAACUGUUGCCCUUCUGCCUAUUUCAAACUUGACGGUACUAAUCCAGCGGUAUGCGCUAAAAUUGGAUCAUAGAAUGCGAAGUUGUUAAGGCUUUCUGCCCAAUCUGAACAUUUUCUUAAUUUGCGUACACUGCAGUGUAGCAUUUCAUAUAUUGUCGAGAGACACAGAAAAGGGGGUGAUGGGCUGGAGAUGACUGUUGGAACCCUUGUUUGGCUUCACACCUGGGGUAUGUUUCGCGUAUGACAAUAAUUAAGUGUGUAAGGUCAGGGGCCUGUUGCUUCCAGAAUUGGCUGGUUUUUUUUGUUUUGCUUGUGAACUGGGCGGCAUUGCAUUGUUUUGGGGCUCUGUAGGUUUUUUAUUUGGGCUGCUGGAUUUCGAGUUUGCAGGGGUGGUUCAUGCUUCUUGUAUUUUUUUGGGUGUGAGUUCAUGCUUCUUGUAUAUAUGUACAGCUUUUCUUUGUUGGGCUUGUUUUAUGGUUCCAGUAUAUAUGUAUACACCACUUAAACAAAUAAUAAAACCAUACACUUAAACACAUGGUUUAUCAUGAAUUGGACAUAGAUUAAUAUCAAUUGUUUUGCCUAUUGAUUCGCUUGUUUGUGAGUUGUUAGUCUCGACAUCGAUCUCUCGUGAGGUCUAAGAAGUAAGAAGUUCAUUCCCUACUUUUGUCCAUAGAAAAGCUGGACCAAACUUGCAUUUCUGCUGCCCAUCAGUAUGGUACCAACCAUGUGAAUAAAUAAGGUUUCAUUGGGGGCAACUAUGAGGCAAAUGUGAAUUGGAAGGGCUAUUUUAAUCUGAUGUGGUGUUGUUAAGUACGGUAUAUAUGUGUUAUAUAUGAAUCAAUGGCGCCGUACUGGGUUUACUCAAAGCAAUCAGACCCAAUUUUUGACCCUACAUAUUGUCAGCAUUCAGCUCUUUUUGUUUAUAACUAAAAGUGAAGUCGAGCCCUGUUUCUAAAGCUAACAAUGAAAAAGAUCCCUAGAGUCCGGAUCGAGAUCUUA